rnacentral:rRNA from 1 species
GACGUAGGGGGCGAGCGUUGUCCGGAGUCACUGGGCGUAAAGGGCGCGCAGGCGGUCGCGUGGGCCAUCGCGUGAAAGCCCCCGGCUCAACCGGGGAGGGCGGCUGCAAACUGGGCGUCUUGAGGGCGAUAGAGGUCGGGUGGAAUUCCUGGUGUAGCGGUGAAAUGCGUAGAGAUCAGGAGGAACACCCGUGGCGAAGG